CGUAGCAGUGUAGUUGCAAGGAGUUAGAGCUUGUCUUGUUUGUCGAGAGACACUCUCGGUAAGAUCGAUUUGAUUGGCAUCCGAUAGGAGAGAA